rnacentral:lncRNA from 1 species
UAAAAUAUAUAUUUUUUGUUUAAAAGGUAUGGUCUAUGAUGCAUGGGCGCACCUAAGGGUUGCAGUCUACCUCCGGAAGUUUUUUUUAUUUUUAUUUAUUUUAAAUAUAGGAAUAGAGACCUUAUUAAUUAUAUGACAUAUAUAUUAUUGUUCGCCUAUAAUGUGGGUUUGAUGGUUGUGGAUGCACUUGCGUCAAUCCAUUAAGAUUUGUUUCGGUCCAUUAAUUUAUUAAUGUACUAAAUGUUAUAGCUCAUCCAAAGGGGUUUACGCCAAAAUUGAGCCAUCAAAAAGAAACCCUGCCAUUUGAAGAUUUCUCCGCUUAUUUUAUAUUAUUAACCUCAUACAUAUGCGACGCUUGUAUUAUUGGUGAAUAGAUAAAAACCGUGAUAGUUUUCUUGUUACCAUGUUCUUUCAUUUUAUAUAUGUUUUUCAUUAUAGGAUGAAAAAAAUCUCUUUUUUUUUUUUAUCAAAAGAAUUCAAUCGAUGAAAACUACAUCACGGAGUAUAAAGCGGCCACAUCAAACCUCCCAAAACAGAAGGAAUAAUACCACACUCCAUAUUACAUCACUAAGAAGCUAACUUGCUUCCGAAACUAUGAUAUGAGAGAGCCACUCCGGCUCUAACAACCACCAAUACGAAGCAUAAGACAAAGAAAGAGCCUCCCUGGCCACACGGUGAGCCGCCUUAUUACAAAUUUUAGGAAGAUAGCCCCACUUACAGACAAAAGAGACUUGGCCUCAUCCAGGAUGCCAUCAUCAGCACUAAGAUCGUCCUGAGACUCUCCCAAAGAAUUGAAUACAGCUUGUGCAUCACCUUCCACCAGCAUGCGUGUGAAGCCAGCCUGUGACACAGAAGUGCAAACCAUUCACCAAUGCCACCAUUUCACAAGAAUGUGGACUCAAGAAUCCUACCCCGAGCACAGCCAACACUCCCAGACAUACCCCCAUUUCAUUGUGAAAUACUGCUCCCGUCCCAAACACCCCAUUUGCAGCAUCCAAAGAACCAUCAGCAUUUAGCUUUACUAACCCACCACCAGGUUUAACCCACCUUUGCAUCCCGCUAGCUGGCCCUACAGUCUCUACCCAUCUGCUGUGCCUUUUCAGUAUUGCCAUUAUAUGUUUGGGUUGCUCUCAUAAACCCUUCCCAUCAAUUCACUGCUCUUUCUAGCACUCCAUUCAGUCCUCCCCCUCCAACCACCUCCCCAUGAACUCUAUUAUUCCUUGCAUGCCAUAACAACCAAGUAAAACAAGUUAUGUUUUGUUUAACAAAAUCUCUUCCAUUGUAUGUAACAUAGAUACAAAACGAUAUAUAUUUUAGUUUUACUUAAUUAUAUAUAUAUAUUAAUUAAUUAUACAUAUCUUCAUUCUACGAUAACUGAGUCAACUCAUAAAACUUAAUGGGUCUAGAAUCCCUUGUUCAUAUUUCAUCCGCAAGAGCAACUCCAAAAC